CGCAGCCGCGGUAAUUCCAGCUCCAAUAGCGUAUAUUAAAGUUGUUGCAGUUAAAAAGCUCGUAGUUGAAUUUCGGAAUCUGUCCGUUGGUCGGGCUUCAUUGUCCGUACUGGUGUGAUGGGUUCUUACCUUCUGAAUAACCAGCAUGCCAUUCAUUUGGUGCGUUGGGGAAGCAGGACUAUUACCUUGAAAAAAUUAGAGUGCUCAAAGCAGGCUAGUGCCUGAAUACAUUAGCAUGGAAUAAUAAAAUAGGACGGCAUGGUUCUAUUUUGUUGGUUUCUAGGAUCACCGUAAUGAUUAAUGGGGAUAGUUGGGGGCAUUAGUAUUCAAUUGUCAGAGGUGAAAUUCUUGGAUUUAUUGAAGACUAACUUCUGCGAAAGCAUUUGCCAAGGAUGUUUUCAUUAAUCAAGAACGAAAGUUAGGGGAUCGAAGACGAUCAGAUACCGUCGUAGUCUUAACCAUAAACUAUGCCGACUAGGGAUCGGACGAUGUUAAUUUUUAAUGACCGUUCGGCGCCUUA
rnacentral:rRNA from 1 species